AACAACCGAUAAAAGGGGAGCGUUCAGAACAGUUGGAAAUCUGAACAUUUUAGCUCACAGGGAUUUCUCUGAAACAUGUUUACCUUAUUAUUUGAAAGUCCAUCAUUAUAACAUUAGAUAUGACAGA